GGCCGAAGGGAUCUGAUUGUGGACUGGUGAAUGUCAACAUUACUACUAGUGGUGCUGAAAUUGGUGGAGCUUUUGGUGGUGAGAAGCACACAGGUGGAGGUAGAGAGUCAGGAAGUGAUUCAUGGAAACAUUAUAUGAGACGAUCUACCUGCACUAUAAAUUACAGUAAAGAUUUGCCACUGGCACAAGGAAUAAAGUUGCCGUGACACAGGCUGAUAUUUCAAGACAACUAAGAAAUCCACAAACUGGAAGAUUUCUUCUUGCAAAAAUCUGCCGCAGCUCCUCACUUCAUAGCUGACAAAUAUUUUCUUUAUAAAAGUAAAUCUCUCUAAUGCAUUAUUUGAUUUUGUAAUCUGAACACAAAAAAACUACAGCAGGUGUCUGUAAACAAAAAGCAAAAUAUACCUGGCAACUGUUGCACCAGACUUCACAAAAUUCUCAAUGACUUAUGUAGGAAUGCCUCCUCCAUACAAUUGUGAUGUUUUGUUUCUUCCAUAGAAGAAAAAUAAAGUUUAUUUUUACCAA